AUGGAGUUCAAGAAGAAGUGGGACCCCUUUCAAAAGGAACUUGAAGUGACACAAGUGUUUGAUGGGCGGAAACCCCACUCAUAUGCGAGCACAUUAUUCGAUCAAAUGGUGUUUCGCGAGGAGGAAAGAGAAAUAGGCAUCAAAAUCAAUCCUGAGGAGUUAUGCCCCCCCCCCCCAAGACAGACUGAACUCAUGCAAGCAGUUUAUGGAAUAAAUCUGCCGCAAGCAUUUUCUAAGAAAGAUUUACUGUCAAUUGCACCAAGGAAGCAAAAGAGAGUGUCGUUCAACCUGAAUCCAAACCCUGUUGCAGCUGCAGAAAGGAUGGAACCCACUUGUCUGAAACCAUCACUCAAACAUAGAGGCCAAACUAAAAAAGUUCAACAGGCAACUAUGUUGGCUAACAAGGCAAGUCAAGCAAAAUGUCAGGCAACUUACAGUGUUCAGAAGCCGGUUGAGCAAGGCUGCAAAACUGGCACUAUCAAGCAAGCAAGUUCAAUGGGGAAGUUUCCCACCACAGAAGUGAAGUUGCUUGAUGAGAACUGA
rnacentral:rRNA from 1 species